UAUGCAAAUUUUUAAGAAUACUACAUUCAGAUAUGACAUUUGAAUAUAAAAACUGGCAAUUAUGUACAGUAGACAGUUCCUAAGAAUUUCUGCAUUAGCGGCUUGUAGCUUCAAUUCUUCAAUCAGCCAGUUGUUAAUUUGUUGUUCUAUAACUAAUUGAGUAAGAGAUUUUUUUCCCGGUUGGCCGGAUUAUGUGCCGAUGAUAUGAUCGCGGUGAAUAAUAUGGGUUGCCUAUGUGCUCAUGAAACUAAAAAGUCUUCAAAAGGUGGUCUUCCAAUGAAAUUUGAAAUAUAAAAAAACAUGGUAUCAGAAAAGAACGAAUAGGGGAAGAGUCAACAUGGAUGUUGUCCCGGUUUUAUCCCAUCCUGGAGCUACAAGAAGGUUGGGUGAAGUCUACAAUGGGUUCUUUUCCAAGGAAGGAGAAGGCUCAGGUGGCGCUGGUCUACAGCUAAAAGAACGUCAGCAGGUUCGCGUCGAAGCUCAUGCAGGUCGCCGUGUUGAGGAGUGAGUUCCCCUCUUGUUGCUCUGCUCUGCUCUCACAAUCAACUGAAUCCCUUUAGCUAGCAGUAAAACAACAGUUGCAAGAGCUUUUUUUAAUUGCAUGAUGCACAGUUGAUGGUCAACUAAGACAAACCCAUAGUAUAAUCGUUAAGAUCAAGUUUGUAGUUUUAGUCGGACAUGUUGUCAAUACAAGGCCUACUCACAUGGUUAAUAUACUAAUUCUUGUCACCAGAAAACCAAGAAUGGUGUACCAUGAGCAAGGAUCGACAUUAUAAAUGUAUACAAUAUUAUGUAUAAAUGGCCAAUGGCUCCAGCAACUAUAGCAAUUAAACCAAGAGCACCAGGGAAAGAG